AAACCAACAGGGAUUGCCCUAGUAACGGCGAGUGAAGCGGCAACAGCUCAAAUUUGAAAUCUGGCUCUCGGGCCCGAGUUGUAAUUUGUAGAGGAUACUUUUGAUGCGGUGCCUUCCGAGUUCCCUGGAACGGGACGCCAUAGAGGGUGAGAGCCCCGUCUGGUUGGAUGCCAAAUCUCUGUAAAGUUCCUUCGACGAGUCGAGUAGUUUGGGAAUGCUGCUCUAAAUGGGAGGUAUAUGUCUUCUAAAGCUAAAUACCGGCCAGAGACCGAUAGCGCACAAGUAGAGUGAUCGAAAGAUGAAAAGCACUUUGAAAAGAGAGUUAAAAAGUACGUGAAAUUGUUGAAAGGGAAGCGUUUAUGACCAGACUUGGGCUUGGUUAAUCAUCUGGGGUUCUCCCCAGUGCACUUUUCCAGUCCAGGCCAGCAUCAGUUUUCCCCGGGGGAUAAAGACUUCGGGAAUGUGGCUCUCUUCGGGGAGUGUUAUAGCCCGUUGUGUAAUACCCUGGGGGGGACUGAGGUUCGCGCAUCUGCAAGGAUGCUGGCGUAAUGGUCAUCAACGAC
rnacentral:rRNA from 1 species